GACGAACGCUGGCGGCGUGCUUAACACAUGCAAGUCGAACGGAAAGGCCCUGCUUUUGCUGUGUGCUCGAGUGGCGAACGGGUGAGUAACACGUGAGUAACCUGCCCUUGACUUUGGGAUAACUUCAGGAAACUGGGGCUAAUACCGGAUAGGAUCUCCUGCUGCAUGGUGGUGGUUGGAAAGUUUCGGCGGUUGGGGAUGGACUCGCGGCUUAUCAGCUUGUUGGUGGGGUAGUGGCUUACCAAGGCUUUGACGGGUAGCCGGCCUGAGAGGGUGACCGGCGACAUUGGGACUGAGAUACGGACCAGAAGGCUACGGGAGGCAGCAGUGGGGAAUAGUGCACAAUGGGCGGAAGCCUGAUGCAGCAACGCCGCGUGCGGGAUGACGGCCUUCGGGUUGUAAACCGAUUUAGACUGUGAAGAAGAGUGAGUGACGGUAAUGGGUAAAGAAGCACCGGCUAACUACGUG
rnacentral:rRNA from 1 species